rnacentral:misc_RNA from 1 species
CUUGGUUUAGCCACGAAAUUAUUCCCUUAGCCUCCUCUCCUCAUUCUAGCUACAAGGCGCUUGAUCCAAGCCUUGGGCAUAAGCAAAAUGGUUCCUGUGUUGCCUUCCCAAUCGAUGGAAUUUUCUCUCGAAUGUUGCCUUCCUCCACCUAGCCCUGCUCAUGUGGGGCAGGUGGACCUCGCAAGCGAUCAUCGUGCUCCAUGUCCUCCCCCACGCAUGUCAGCAUGCGAAGGGGGUUUCACAAUGGCCCAUGAUGAUGGCUCGUGCUCUCGGAUGCGGAACCUUAACACGGGCAUGGGAUCUAAUGAUCGCAUUCUUGCCCGAGCUUAAGCGUUCUUCGCUAGACGCGUAUGUACGACGAUCGGCUCCGCUUUGCCCUCCCGUCACCCAUUGUGGUCUAGGCUAGGUGCAUGCGGUUUCGACGUUGCACAAGAAUG